GAAAAUACAUAAGUAAAGAUUUUAAUAAGCCUCACACAGACAGGCACAUGCCUACUCAUUCCUUCAAAUUCUUAGAGCUUUUGCAUAAGACUUCUUUUAUAUUUGUCUUAGUCUCUGAAGUUACACACAUCUUAAAGUUAAAAAAGAUAGACUUGUUAAUAACACACAAAUGUUCAUAGACAUAACAUCUUUACAGAUAUCCUCUGUGAGCAGAUCAAGCCACUCUCCAUAUGUAUUUAAACGCAGUGGAAGGCUGGAGUUUUUAAGUUGUCAGAUCUGUGCCUGGGUAUGAGGGGCUCUAUUUUCACUCUUUGAGCAGCAAGAGAUUAGCAGCUUGAAAUCACUUUGACAGUUUCAGUUACUCUAUUGCAUACCGCAGGGAAUUUUAAUUCCAACCUGUGAAAUUGUAAUUGCUUCUCAAGAAGAGUGGAAGGAUUCUGGGUAAUGGCUACAGCCAAGCUCAAUGUCAGAGUUGCCAGUUGCUGCCACUUCAGAUAUUACUUGCUGUUAUUCAGACAUCACUCCAGCUUUCCAUAUGGGAAGUUGAACUGGGGAGUGAAACUAGAUUAACAAAAACUGUCAGAUGUUCAGAGAUGUGCAGGCAAUGAUGUGACAGAGGUGGAUGAACUCUCCUCAAAAAGGUACUUCCUUCUUUUGCUCUCCUGCUUUAUAGAACAAGCUUUAUAUAAACUGCUUCUUUGAUUUAAUAUUAUUUUUCUAAACAAGUAUACCAUUAAUAGAAAGCUACAAUGAAAAGAUUAAAUGAGAAAGUCCUCCAGCAUCCAAAACCAUGCACAAGCAGGACAUAAAAAGUGUGCACUUAAUGUUGUUCAGAAGAGACUUAAGAUGUCUUUGCUAUUCAAGUCUUGUGGUUUGCAAGAUUCCUCACUGAAAACAGCCAAAGAGAACUCAGAGCUACCACAGACAUAUAAGAAAAAUAGUUGAGGUUUCCUUGGUACCAAAAAGAAAUCAGAUUCUAUUUUGCUUUAAAAAAACCAAAGGCAUUGUACGUAGAUUGGUUAUUAGCAGACACAUUCUCUAGUGAUGACUGUGUUCAUGCACGUGAAAAAGUGACAUCAAACUGAGUGUGGGGAAACUUCUCCUGCAAUGACCUCAUUAACCUGGAGCGCAGUAGAUUUCUCACCCGUCCUGAUGGUUUGCGAGGAGAGAAUGCUUGGUGCAAGUAGGCCUCAAACAUAAUGCUGAUGUAAAAAUUAGAAACACGACCUAGCAUGACAGAAGCAUUCAGGGAGCCAAAAAGUCACAGAUCAAAUGUAUUCAGGUCAAUCCAUUCCAUGAAGUAGAUGUACGUCUACAGUUCACUCUACGCUCACUAAGGUUUCCCAGCCUGCAACAGUAGCCCCAGGUAGCAUGCACUUUGGGUUUUGCCUGAAGGACAGGAUGAGCUGUUUGACCAGAAUUGACUUGUUCAGCUCAGCGGCUUUGAAAGCUUUAGUUGCAAAUAAACAGAAAAAAUUGACAAACACUCUACUGCUCUGCAACACAAAGUGUCAAAAAGCCCUCUCAAAAUCUAAAGGAAGAUAAUAAAAUACUUGACAACAACACUUCCUACUUACCAGAUUAAAGUUCAGUUUAAGAAUAUACUGCAUCUGUGGGCAAUGUAAUUUACAAAGUCUUCUUUGUCCUCUUUCUGUAUAUUACAUUAUUUCUAAGAAAAUAAGCUGGUCUCAUUAAAGCCAAUGAUGCACAGAAUCUAAAUCACAAGCUUUGUAAAUCUCUGUAACAGCUGAUGCAAUGAGUCUGUAAUUGC
ensembl:lncRNA